UUCUGGUGUCAUCGUGAUGGUUGCAAUUAUGACUCGUAUAGACACAGGUCAUUUACACCAGAAUCUACAAUCUCUGAUUGGGAGGGUAAAGAUUUCUGUCUCGAAAAUCUGUUUGACGAAUCCAGACCAGACUCCCCACAAUCAGUUUUAUCAGACCUUGAACUUGACAGGUUUUUCAGUACCAGGGCCUUGUCCCCAGACUCUGUGUCUUCCGACUUUGACUUUGCACUCCUCCAGGACUGGCUGAAAGACUUCAGAUCAUCUUCACCGGAAUCCGUGGCCUCAGUUGAACAGUGUUACUGGACUCCUCACAUGAUAUUCGGCCAGGAGACAAGUAAACACUGUAAUUAUUUCCUACAUUACUCUGGGAGCAGACCUGUAUCACCUCAAUCAGCAGUGUCAGAUAUUGAGGAUUACACAUUUUGUCUGGAAGAAUUAUUUGACGACACCAGACCAGAUUCCCCAGAUUCAUUUACUUCAGGCAUUGAAACUAAAAGUACUUUUGGCGUAUUCUCAUCCAAAGCCUUUCCCACUUCAAGACCUCUUACAUAUGCAGAUGUAGUGCGAGGCAUUGCAC